GCCGGAAGGACGAAGAAGCUUUAUCAGUCGGAAAUCGGGAUCCGGUAAAGAAGCAACGCCGAAGUUCGACGGCGAUGGAUAGAGAGUGGGGGUCGAAGCCGGGAAGUGGAGGAGCGGCCUCGGCACAAAAUGAAGCUAUCGAUCGCAGAGAGCGUCUUCGACGGCUGGCUCUCGAGACCAUCGAUCUCGCCAAGGAUCCCUAUUUUAUGCGG
rnacentral:misc_RNA from 1 species